GGAAGUAAAAGUCGUAACAUGGUCUCCGUUGGUGAACCAGCGGAGGGAUCAUUAUCGAGUUUAUAACUCCCAGACCCUAUGUGAACUUACCACUUGUUGCUUCGGCGCGCGCUUCGGCGCCGCCGAGGACACUUAAACUCUUUGUUUUUAUAAGCAUUUCUGAGUGGCCGAAAGGCAAAAUACAAAUGAAUCAAAACUUUCAACAACGGAUCUCUUGGUUCUG
rnacentral:misc_RNA from 1 species